rnacentral:lncRNA from 1 species
CAACAGCCGCCUUUAAACUCUCUCGUCCUCUCUAACUCUCUCUAGCUCUCUGAAACCCUAGCCCUGUUCCGCCUACUUCCGUCUCAUUAUCACUGGAAUCAAUAGUGUUCCAAGCCCUAUGCAGCAUGUACCCACCUCCCGUGUUCUCUUACAUCUGUUACUUGAAAAUGCAAGGCAUGGCCUUGAAGGUUUUUGCUCAGAUCUUCAUCGAUUCUAGUUUCACGACUGUUUCCAGCUUGGCUCCAGCACAUCUUGGUCCUAUGAACCUACCUCUGGCUCAUUUGGCUCACAGCAGACCAUUUCCAAGCCUUUCUUGCUUGUCGGGUUCUUCUAAAACCCUAGCCUUUCGAGGUUCUCC